rnacentral:lncRNA from 1 species
CAGGUCUCCAAAUUGCCUGAUGGGCUGUAGAUUGAUUUCUGUACCACAGGUACAUUUGCUCAUUUACAACCAUUCUCAGCAUUUUCAAAAAAGGAUGCCUAAAAGUGUGAUGGUAUCCGGAUGUAUGGAGCAUACAGUUCAGGUGAGUAUUCUGGUUUUGGUCUAAUAUUUGAAAACACCUCACCAAAAUGACAGCCCUAGCAGUGUUUUGUGAAGAGCAGCUCUGUGGACUCCAGCAUACAUCACCAUGAGUAUCGCUCACUGGAUCUGGGGUCAGCGUUAAGGCCUCUGGAGCUCAACCUGUGGAAUAAACACUGAAGUUUUUUCCAAGAAAAUA